CCGGGAAAGUUUUGGCUACCAGGUUUGAACCCUAAAUUAUAUGUUAAUUUUAUUCUACUUCUUUUCUCGAUAGCACAACUUGGUGACUGUUUCUUGGUUUUGCGCUCAUAUUUAUGUGAAUGUAGGCUUGGGAAAUGUAUUAUAGGGUUUUGUAUGGUUUUGCUUUUCGAUUUUGUUUUGAUAUUGAGGUUUGUUCUGCCAAAUGUUUUUUGUUUGAUUUCUGAUAUUGAGUUUAAUGAUGGUUGGAAUAUGGGAAGUUGCGUCUUAAUUGAGUUAUGUUUAGAAUCUUAAGAAAAUAGCUUCACGAUGACUCACCUCUCCUUUCUUUAUUAUUAUUAUUAUUUUUAAUUACA
rnacentral:misc_RNA from 1 species